rnacentral:rRNA from 1 species
UCAGGGAGGGAGGAAAGGUCGUGUAGGUAAAUAGCUCGAGCGAUGACUUCACGCAGAAAGAAGCACUGACUACUCCGUGCAGCAGCCGCGGUAAUACGGAGCGUGCAACGUAAUCGUACUGCUGGGAGUAAAGCGCACGCAGUCGGUCUGUCAAGUCGGAUGAGAAAUCCCCGGGACUCAACCUGGGACUGCAUCGAAACUGGCAGGCUAGAGUCUGUAGAGGGGGUAGAAUUGCAGGUGUAGCGGUGAAAUGCGUAGAGAUCUGGAGGAAUACCGGUGACGAAGGCGGCCCCUGGACAAAGACUGACGCUCAGGUGCGAAAGCGUGGGGAGCAAACAGGAUUAGAUACGUGGUAGUCCACGCCGUAAACGAUGUCGACUUGGAGGUUGUGCCCUUGAGGCGUGGCUUCCGGAGCUAACGCGUUAAGUCGACCGCCUGGGGAGUACGGCCGCAAGGUUAAAACUCAAAUGAAUUGACGGGGGCCCGCACAAGCGGUGGAGCAUGUGGUUUAAUUCGAUGCAACGCGAAGAACCUUACCUACUCUUGACAUCCAGAGAACUUUCCAGAGAUGGAUUGGUGCCUUCGGGAACUCUGAGACAGGUGCUGCAUGGCUGUCGUCAGCUCGUGUUGUGAAAUGUUGGGUUAAGUCCCGCAACGAGCGCAACCCUUAUCCUUUGUUGCCAGCGGUUCGGCCGGGAACUCAAAGGAGACUGCCAGUGAUAAACUGGAGGAAGGUGGGGAUGACGUCAAGUCAUCAUGGCCCUUACGAGUAGGGCUACACACGUGCUACAAUGGCGCAUACAAAGAGAAGCGACCUCGCGAGAGCAAGCGGACCUCAUAAAGUGCGUCGUAGUCCGGAUUGGAGUCUGCAACUCGACUCCAUGAAGUCGGAAUCGCUAGUAAUCGUAGAUCAGAAUGCUACGGUGAAUACGUUCCCGGGCCUUGUACACACCGCCCGUCACACCAUGGGAGUGGGUUGCAAAAGAAGUAGGUAGCUUAACCUCGGAGGGCGCUAUCUGACGUUGUAUCA